AGAGCCAUUCUUGUGUAUCGAGGCAGAUGUGGUUGCUCUAUAGGUACAAUGGAAAUUCCUGGACCAAGGAAGACUGGAAAGUUUAAGAAAUAAUUAUAGGAAGCAUAUUUUGGAUGCUGUAAUAAUCAGAUGAUGCCUUUGACUGGUAAUCUUCUCUGAAAAGUACUAGACCCUUUUAUAAGCUUUUAUAUAUAUAUAUAUAUUACAAAGAACAGGAACCCUUAUUAUAAUGUAGCAGGGGAAUCUGCCAUUUUG
rnacentral:misc_RNA from 1 species